CCUACGGGUGGCAGCAGUGGGGAAUAUUGCACAAUGGGGGAAACCCUGAUGCAGCGACGCCGCGUGAGUGAAGAAGUAUUUCGGGAUGUAAAGCUCUUUCAGCGGGGAAGAAAAUGACGGUAACAGAUCAAGAAGCCCCGGCUAACUACGUGCCAGCAGCCGCGGUAAUACGUAGGGGGCAAGCGUUAUCCGGAUUUACUGGGGGUAAAGGGAGCGUAGGCGGCAGCGCAAGUCUGGAGUGAAAUGCCGGGGCUUAACCCCGGAACGGCAUUGGAAACUGUGCGACUAGAGUGCAGGAGAGGGAAGUGGAAUUCCUAGUGUAGCGGUGAAAUGCGUAGAUAUUAGGAGGAACACCAGUGGCGAAGGCGGCUUACUGGACAUUAACUGACGUUGAGGCUCGAAAGCGUGGGGAGCAAACAGGAUUAGAUACCCGAGUAGUC
rnacentral:rRNA from 1 species